GUCCUUGGAAGGAGAGGCUCUUGUAGAGAAGGAAGAGACAUCAUUCUGACCCUGAAGUUUUAUCACUUUCCAAGGUAGGAAAAUGCCAUAUCGUAUAGGGCAUUGCAUACUAUACAUUCCCUGGGGAGCAUUUUGAAAAUGUGGGGGCACUUUUGUCUUCUAGCAUGAUCAUACUUGAGCAUUUACUUAUGAAAGACCAUUAUCAUCAACUAUUUUCCUUUUAUUUUUUCUUUUAUAAUAUAGUUUAAUACUUAUAUUGAUUUCUUCUUAUGUGCAGAUAGGUUAUAUUAUUUUUGAAUUUUAUUUUAGUAUAGCAAAGGGAUGAUCACAAAAUAUUCGUUCUAAGAAGGUGUUGUUCGUGUAGCAGGGGUGGGAAUUACUCAUUUAGGGGUUUCUUGCUUAUUUCUACUGUCACCCUCACACAGGUAUGCCAGUGUCAGGAGGCUCUUGUCCUUCUUUUAAUUUUGUCCCUGGCAAAACAAAACAAAAUUUUGCUAACUGCUCAAGGAGAAAAGCAGGGAAAUAAAUAUGGAGAGUUGGAAGAAAUCACAGUAGGAAGAAUCUAAACAGUUUGGCCCACAAGAUGUGACUUUCUGCAGCAUCUUACAGAAUCUGUCCCAGCCCCUGUGUGUCCCAGAGAUAAAGAAAUGAUUUAUUUGAAUCUCCAACUUUCUAGUACUUGGCUUAUUUCCAUGAGUUGAUUAUUAAUUUUUGAAUGUAUCAUCCAAGAAACACUUUCUUAGAAAUUGACAUCCUCCAAAGCUCAGGUCAGGAACAUGAGACAGUUUUACUUUUCCCCUUGUAUUUAUUAGAAUUGGGUUCAGUGUCUUGUGGAAGAAAACCCAAAUAUGGCAGCUUAAAUCAGAACUUUUUGUUGUCUCAUGUAAAAACUGGAGAUCAGCAUCCAAGAGGGAUAUGAACAAGUUUCCUCCAGUUUUCUUCUCUGCCAUCCCUUGGGGGUGUUGUAUAUGGUCCAAGAUGCUUGUUGAAGCUCCGGUUAUUAUCCUUACUCUUCCUCUGAUUUCUCCACCACCGACAGUGAAAAC
rnacentral:lncRNA from 10 species